UACGUAGGUGACCAGCGUUGUCCGGAUUUACUGGGCGUAAAGAGCGCGCAGGCGGUCGUUCAAGUCGAGUGUGAAAGCCCCCGGCUCAACUGGGGAGGGUCAUUCAAUACUGAUCGACUGGAAGGCAGGAGAGGGAAGCGGAAUUCCCGGUGUAGUGGUGAAAUGCGUAGAUAUCGGGAGGAACACCAGUGGCGAAGGCGGCUUCCUGGCCUGUUCUUGACGCUGAGGCGCGAAAGCUAGGGGAGCAAACGGG
rnacentral:rRNA from 1 species